GAUGAACGCUGGCGGCGUGCCUAAUACAUGCAAGUCGAGCGAACGGACGAGAAGCUUGCUUCUCUGAUGUUAGCGGCGGACGGGUGAGUAACACGUGGAUAACCUACCUAUAAGACUGGGAUAACUUCGGGAAACCGUAGCUAAUACCGGAUAAUAUUUUGAACCGCAUGGUUCAAAAGUGAAAGACGGUCUUGCUGUCACUUAUAGAUGGAUCCGCGCUGCAUUAGCUAGUUGGUAAGGUAACGGCUUACCAAGGCAACGAUGCAUAGCCGACCUGAGAGGGUGAUCGGCCACACUGGAACUGAGCCACGGUCCAGACUCCUACGGGAGGCAGCAGUAGGGAAUCUUCCGCAAUGGGCGAAAGCCUGACGGAGCAACGCCGCGUGAGUGAUGAAGGUCUUCGGAUCGUAAAACUCUGUUAUUAGGGAAGAACAUAUUUGUAAGUAACUGUGCACAUCUUGACGGUACCUAAUCAGAAAGCCACGGCUAACUACGUG
rnacentral:rRNA from 1 species